rnacentral:rRNA from 1 species
AUUGAACGCUGGCGGCAUGCCUUACACAUGCAAGUCGAACGGCAGCACGGGAGCAAUCCUGGUGGCGAGUGGCGAACGGGUGAGUAAAGUAUCGGAACGUGCCCAGUCGUGGGGGAUAACGUAGCGAAAGUUACGCUAAUACCGCAUACGAUCUAUGGAUGAAAGCGGGGGAUCGCAAGACCUCGCGCGAUUGGAGCGGCCGAUAUCAGAUUAGGUAGUUGGUGGGGUAAAGGCUCACCAAGCCGACGAUCGGUAGCUGGUCUGAGAGGACGACCAGCCACGCUGGGACUGAGACACGGCCCAGACUCCUACGGGAGGCAGCAGUGGGGAAUUUUGGACAAUGGGCGAAAGCCUGAUCCAGCCAUGCCGCGUGCAGGAUGAAGGCCUUCGGGUUGUAAACUGCUUUUGUACGGAACGAAAAGGUUUGGGCUAAUAAGCUGAGCUCAUGACGGUACCGUAAGAAUAAGCACCGGCUAACUACGUGCCAGCCGCCGCUAUAA